UUUCCAUUGUAGCAAUUCUGCCGAAACAUGAAUGCAAACCUGGCAUCAGGAAACCAAUUCCCAUUUAUUGGUGCCAGGGCCAUCUGAUGAUUCCUGGGCUGUCAUGAAGGUGUGGCCCACCUGACGACAAAGCAAAUACUCUAAUAUAUCACAAUAAGAAUCUGGUUCUGAUUUGAUUUACUUCUUUUCUUUUACUGUAAUGCUGCAUAAGGAAUGAAGCGACACGUGACAUAAACUGGAGGAGCUCUUUUAACAGGAGCAAAUUGCAUGUGUACAUGAAAGAAUGCUUUUAGCAAAACUUUGUUUCCCAGAAUGAAUUGUUGUUUCUCAUCUUCUUCAUCAUUAAAAUCUUAAGCAUUGAAUCAAA